UACGGAGGGGGCUAGCGUUGUUCGGAUUCAUUGGGCGUAAAGGGUGCGUAGGUGGCAGGGUAAGUCGGAUGUGAAAUCCCGGGGCUCAACCUCGGAACUGCAUUCGAUACUGCUUUGCUGGAGUACUGGAGAGGAGAUUGGAAUUUACGGUGUAGCAGUGAAAUGCGUAGAUAUCGUAAGGAAGACCAGUGGCGAAGGCGGAUCUCUGGACAGUUACUGACACUGAGGCACGAAGGCCAGGGGAGCAAACGGG
rnacentral:rRNA from 1 species